GAAAUGCGAUAAGUAAUGUGAAUUGCAGAAUUCAGUGAAUCAUCGAAUCUUUGAACGCACAUUGCGCCCCCUGGUAUUCCGGGGGGGCAUGCCUGUUCGAGCGUCAUUUCACCACUCAAGCCUCGCUUGGUAUUGGGCAACGCGGUCCGCCGCGUGCCUCAAAUCGACCGGCUGGGUCUUCUGUCCCCUAAGCGUUGUGGAAACUAUUCGCUAAAGGGUGUUCGGGAGGCUACGCCGUAAAACAACCCCAUUUCUAAGGUUGACCUCGGAUCAGGUAGGGAUACCCGCUGAACUUAAGC
rnacentral:misc_RNA from 1 species